GCCAAAGACAGAGAGCCAAGUUUUUGUACACCCACUAGAGGGGCUCAAAUUAAUGUGAUUAUUUUGACUACUGGGGCCAAGGGACCAUGGUGACCGUCUCCUCAGCUGUCCCAGCUGCACCAAAGCUCUUCCCCCUCUCCUCCUGUUGGAGUUCUCAAAUGAGUGAUGCUCCUGUGGCUGUGGGUUGUUUGGCUAAGGAUUUUCUACCUGAAUCCAUAAACUUCUCCUGGAGCUACCAAAACCAAAGUGCUGUGAGUGCCACAGAUUUAAAGAUCUUCCCAACUCUUAUGAGUGGGAGCACGUACACAGCCACCUCACAAGUGACCCUCCCUGCCAAUGAUGUCUUCGAAGGACAAGAUAGCUAUUUGGUAUGUAAGACCCGUCAUACCAAAGGCAACAAGGAAGUUCGAGUUCCACUUCCAGAUCGCACCAUCAGUUCCCCCAAUGUGACUGUGUAUAUUCCACCCCGUGAUGUGUUCUCCAGCUCUAACCUAAGAACAUCCAAGCUCAUCUGUCAAGCCACCAACUUCAAGCCAAACAAGAUCAAAUUAACAUGGCUUCAAGAGGGCAGGCCACUUCUGUCAGGUGUCUCUACAGGUCAAGUCCUGCCUGAAGGUUCUGGGACUUACUUCCUGCAGAGCAGCCUGACUAUCAGUGAAAAUGACUGGCUCAGCCAAAGCACAUUCACCUGCCAGGUAGAACAUGAAAGGGUCCAAUUCCAGAAGAAUGUUUCCUCAACCUGUUUCAGUGGGGGCCCAGAAUCACCCAUUGAAGCCUUUGUCAUCCCCCCCUCCUUUGCAAGCAUCUUUGUUACCAAAUCAGCCAAAUUAACCUGUGUAGUCACAAACCUUCCCACUCCUCAAAAUCCGAAUAUUUCCUGGACCCGGGAGAAUGGACAGCCUCUGGAAACUACCGUUAAGGUGUCCCUCAGCCACCUCAAUGGCACUUUUAGUGCUGAGGGAGUAGCCACAGUCUGUGAAGAUGAAUGGAAUUCAGGGACGGUAUUCAAAUGCAUCGUGAUUCAUCCUAAUCAUCCUGUUCCCUUGAAGAAAGAAAUCUUUAAGCCAAAAGGGACUACCAUGUACGCACCAGCUAUCUACCUAUUGCCUCCAGCUCCUGAAGAGCUGAGCCUCAGGGAAUCAGCUACCCUAACCUGCCUGAUGAAGGACUUCUCCCCAGCAGAUGUGCUUGUCCAGUGGCGGCACAAAGGACAGCCUAUACCCUCAGAGAAAUAUGUCACCAGCAUCCCCCAGCAGGAACCCCAGAAAGACGGUCUCUACUUCUCCCACAGCACCCUGACAGUGUCUGAGAAACACUGGAAUGCAGGGGAUUCCUAUACCUGUGUGGUGGUUCAUGAAGCACUACCCUUGUCGGUGACUGAGAAGACCGUGGACAAGUCCACUGAAGGGGAAGUCAAUGCUGAAGAAGAGGGGUUUGAGAACCUGUGGACGACAGCUUCUACUUUCAUUGUCCUCUUCCUCCUGAGUCUCUUUUACAGUACAACAGUCACUCUGUUCAAGGUGAAAUAAAUUCAUGCUUGAAAGGCAAACAUCUGAAAACAAAGAGCUUGAACCAAAAGAAGGAA